AGUCUGAACCAGCCAUGUCGCGUGCAGGAAGACGGCCCUACGGGUUGUAAACUGCUUUUGUACGGGAAUAAAAAUCAUUACGGGUAAUGAGUUGAAUGUACCGUACGAAUAAGCAUCGGCUAACUCCGUGCCAGCAGCCGCGGUAAUACGGAGGAUGCGAGCGUUAUCCGGACUUAUUGGGUUUAAAGGGUGCGUAGGCGGAAUGGUAAGUCAGCGGUGAAAUACUACAGCUCAACUGUAGGGAUGCCGAUGAUACUGUCAUUCUUGAGUAUACUUGAGGCAUGCGGAAUGAGUAGUGUAGCGGUGAAAUGCAUAGAUAUUACUCAGAACACCGAUCGCGAAGGCAGCAUGCUAAGGUAAUACUGACGCUGAGGCACGAAAGCGUGGGUAUCAAACAGGAUUAGAUACCCUGGUAGUCCACGCCGUAAACGAUGAUUACUGGUUGUUUGUCCGGUUAAGGAUAAGCGACUGAGCGAAAGCAUUAAGUAAUCCACCUGG
rnacentral:rRNA from 1 species